GUCCCAGUGGCCUAAUGGAUAAGGCAUCAGCCUUUGGAGCUGAGGAUUGUGGGUUCGAGUCCCAUCUGGGUUGAUGACG